CAGCCGCCGCGGUAAUACGAAGGGGGCUAGCGUUGUUCGGAAUUACUGGGCGUAAAGCGCACGUAGGCGGACAUUUAAGUCAGGGGUGAAAUCCCGGGGCUCAACCCCGGAACUGCCUUUGAUACUGGGUGUCUAGAGUAUGGAAGAGGUGAGUGGAAUUCCGAGUGUAGAGGUGAAAUUCGUAGAUAUUCGGAGGAACACCAGUGGCGAAGGCGGCUCACUGGUCCAUUACUGACGCUGAGGUGCGAAAGCGUGGGGAGCAAACAGGAUUAGAUACCCCGGUAGUCCCUGUCUCUUAUAU
rnacentral:rRNA from 1 species